GCACGAAUGGCGUAAUGAUGGCCAGGCUGUCUCCACCCGAGACUCAGUGAAAUUGAACUCGCUGUGAAGAUGCAGUGUACCCGCGGCAAGACGGAAAGACCCCGUGAACCUUUACUAUAGCUUGACACUGAACAUUGAGCCUUGAUGUGUAGGAUAGGUGGGAGGCUUUGAAGUGUGGACGCCAGUCUGCAUGGAGCCGACCUUGAAAUACCACCCUUUAAUGUUUGAUGUUCUAACGUUGGCCCCUAAUCGGGGUUGCGGACAGUGUCUGGUGGGUAGUUUGACUGGGGCGGUCUCCUCCUAAAGAGUAACGGAGGAGCACGAAGGUUGGCUAAUCCUGGUCGGACAUCAGGAGGUUAGUGCAAUGGCAUAAGCCAGCUUGACUGCGAGCGUGACGGCGCGAGCAGGUGCGAAAGCAGGUCAUAGUGAUCCGGUGGUUCUGAAUGGAAGGGCCAUCGCUCAACGGAUAAAAGGUACUCCGGGGAUAACAGGCUGAUACCGCCCAAGAGUUCAUAUCGACGGCGGUGUUUGGCACCUCGAUGUCGGCUCAUCACAUCCUGGGGCUGAAGUAGGUCCCAAGGGUAUGGCUGUUCGCCAUUUAAAGUGGUACGCGAGCUGGGUU
rnacentral:rRNA from 1 species